rnacentral:lncRNA from 1 species
UCCCCCUUUUUGGGAUUAUCAAAAAGAAAAAUAUUAUCAAACAUCCACAAAGGAGACAUUGCACAUAUAAAAGAAAACAAACUUCAAGUUUCAUUCCUUCAUUUAAACAAGAUAUAGUGAGUACAAAAAGUAUACAAUAUACGACAUUUUCAAAAAGAAACUUGAUCAUAACAUAAGAUACUAACAAACAAAAGGCUCAAAAUGAGAAUACAGCUGCAUGCAACCUCAUCUAAGC